CAAAUCUGUUGUGAGUAUUUUUAAAAAAAAUGCUAAAGUUAACAGUUGUCGUUUAACUGGAUAAUUAUCUAGUUUAUUAUGAGGGUUUUCGUAGUUUGAUAAAUGCGAUAACAACUGUUUUCCAAUUCAAGCAGUGUCGAGUUGGAUUUUUAAUAAUCGAAACUUUUACAGGGUAAACUUUUCUAUAUCAAUCGAAUACACUAGCCUGAUCUUUGUUGUCAUUAAUUUCAAUGUAUGUCGGUCAUUUUGUGAGGGUAUAUGAGUAUGUUCAUCAUUGUUGGUUUGUUUGUACAUCCGUUAGAAAACCCUUUAAUAAAGUGUGACUGUAUAACGCUAUGGGGUGAAUAAUACGCGCACCAUCUGGUCGGUUAAAAUUGUCAAAUUCGAAGGCUAGGGUAAGUAUUGUAGGAAUAACAUUAUCUGCAACAUCCCUUUAUUAACGGGAAGUUGUAGAUGUUCACUGAUGUAUCAGUGCAACUAUAUUAUGGGGGUUAUUUUUUGCCAAUUUUGCAGAACAAGCCAGUCAUAUUGAUUGAUGCGUAACCAGAGCUGGAUAUAUUCUCCUGUUUUUAAGAAAUCAACAGACAACAUCAGUUAUACAACAUGUGAUGUAACAUUUAUCAAUUGAGUCAAACUAUAAAAAAUAUCAUCCUUUUUUUUAUUGUGUAUCACAAUUGAUGCAGCCCUUGUUACUUAAUUGGGUAACAUGAUAUAUUGUUUUUAUUAUAUUGUAGUUUCGAAAUAAACAUUAUGAAAAUUAUGUCUUGAUGGGAGACGAUAAAGCAAUGAAAAUCUUCGUCUGGUGGAGGAACGACGUUCAUAGCACCUACAAAAUAUUUCCACGUUUCACAAGUGUCGUAUUGACUUUGUCAAAGACUUGCUUGGUUUUUCACUUUUUAUUUCUUAUAUCGUUUUGAACAAUUGCGAACAUAAAGAGCGUAUAAAAAAGUAAUAAAAGUUCAAUGACAUGUUUAAGAUAAUACAAAUUAUAUAAUUUUUCAACUGCAAUUUACUGAAAAAUAUGUGUUUUUAAGCAUUAUUCUAUGUUUGCCGUUCUUUUUCUUUGAUUUUUCUAAGCACUGGCCUCCAGUUAUCGUUGUGAAAAGAUAACAAACAAAAUCGUUGAAUGAGAAAUGAUAUACUUGUUUUACAUUUGUCAUUUAGGGACCUUUUAUAGCUGAUUAUGUGGUAUGGACUUUCAU
rnacentral:lncRNA from 1 species